rnacentral:lncRNA from 1 species
AACUAUUUUUCUUCUGCGGAUGGCUCGGAAGUUGGGGAGUCCUCCGCUGUCACGACUCGGAGUAUCGCGUGAUCUGGAAAUCGAGAACAAUGCAACAAUUACUGGACUCGGACUAGGACUGGUGGCGGAGAUGAAUCUGGUGGAACUCGGACUGGUGGCGGAGAUGAAUCUGGUGGAACUCGGACUGGUGGCGGAGAUGAAUCUGGUGGAACUCGGACUGGUGGCGGAUAUCUGUUGCAGGUGGACUCGGAUGGGCGUGAUGGCGGCGGAUAUGUGGUGGCGUAUAUGGAUUCAGAUUGGCGGUGAAUAUGUGGUGGUGGUAUAUGGCGGCAGCAAUGUGACAACCUGUGAACAGAACUCGAAACUCUAAAAGACUAGACGCUAAGACCAGCAACUUGACACGACGAUGCAACCGCAAAUUCAAGAAAGCAAAUACUGAAAAGAUUAUGCAAAGGCUCAGAUUGGUUCGGAUGGGAUGAACUAACCCUAAUUUUUUUGGCUUUUUCGUGGACUAUAGGUAUGAAGAACAGACUCGAUCUAAACUACGAAAAACUGUAAAAUCUCACCGAGCAACCUGGAAAUCUGAUACCACUUGAUAGAGGCAAAGGUGUCCCGUCUUUCGAUGAGAUGGUGGAUUUCGCUUUGGUGGAAGUCGACUUUGACGAUCCGACUAUGAAC